rnacentral:rRNA from 1 species
GGUUGAUCCUGCCAGUAGUCAUAUGCUUGUCCUAAAGAUUAAGCCAUGCAUGUCCAAGUAUAAACCUUUAUACGGUGAAACUGCGAAUGGCUCAUUAUAUCAGUUAUAAUUUACUUGAUGAAUAUUUAUUACAUGGAUAACCGUGGUAAUUCUAGAGCUAAUACAUGCAUAAGGGGUGAUUUGAUCAUUCUGUAUUUAUUAGAUAAAACCAAAGUAGGGGGUUAAACUCUUAUUUAUUGGCGAGUCAUGAUAACUGGGCGGAUCGUAUGGCCUUGAGCUGACGACGCAUCAUU